rnacentral:rRNA from 1 species
GACGAACGUUGGCGGCGUGCUUAAUACAUGCAAGUCCACUGAAGCAGUGGUAGCAAUAUCGCUGUGGAGGUGGCGCACGGGGGAGUAACACGUAGGUAAUCUGCCUUCAGGUCUGGCAUAACUCCGGGAAACCGGGGCUAAUAGCAGAUGAUGCAGCGGCUCGACAUCGAGACAGUUGUUAAAGCUAUGGCGCCUGAAGAUGAGCCUGCGUCUGAUUAGCUAGUUGGCGGGGUAACGGCCCACCAAGGCAACGAUCAGUAGCUGGUCUGAGAGGAUGAUCAGCCACACUGGAACUGAGACACGGUCCAGACUCCUACGGGAGGCAGCAGUAAGGAAUAUUGCUCAAUGGGAGAAAUCCUGAAGCAGCAACGCCGCGUGAGGGACGAAGGGCUUUUGCUUGUAAACCUCUGUAGUGAGAGAAAAAAAUCCCAAUCUUUGGGACAUGAUGGUAUCUCAAAAGUAAGCCCCGGCUAACUACGUG